AGUCGAACGAACUUAAUACAUUCUUUUAGAUUGUAAGCGGUUAGUGGCGGACUGGUGAGUAACGCGUGAGUAACCUGCCUAUUAGAGGGGAAUAACAGUGAGAAAUCAUUGCUAAUACCGCAUAUGCUCACAGUAUCGCAUGAUACAGUGAGGAAAGGAGUAAUCCACUAAUAGAUGGACUCGCGUCUGAUUAGCUAGUUGGUGAGGUAGAGGCUUACCAAGGCGACGAUCAGUAGCCGGACUGAGAGGUUGAACGGCCACAUUGGGACUGAGAUACGGCCCAGACUCCUACGGGAGGCAGCAGUCGGGAAUAUUGCGCAAUGGAGGAAACUCUGACGCAGUGACGCCGCGUAUAGGAAGAAGGUUUUCGGAUUGUAAACUAUUGUCGUUAGGGAAGAAAAAAGACAGUACCUAAGGAGGAAGCCCCGGCUAACUAUGUGCCAGCAGCCGCGGUAAUACAUAGGGGGCAAGCGUUAUCCGGAAUUAUUGGGUGUAAAAGGUGCGUAGACGGGUGUCUAAGUUGGUUGUGAAAUCCCUCGGCUCAACUGAGGAACUGCAACCAAAACUGGAUAUCUUGAGUGUCGGAGAGGAAAGUGGAAUUCCUAGUGUAGCGGUGAAAUGCGUAGAUAUUAGGAGGAACACCAGUGGCGAAGGCGACUUUCUGGACGAUAACUGACGUUGAGGCACGAAAGUGUGGGGAGCAAACAGGAUUAGAUACCCUGGUAGUCCACACUGUAAACGAUGGAUACUAGGUGUAGGGUGUUUAAGCACUCUGUGCCGCCGCAAACGCAUUAAGUAU
rnacentral:rRNA from 1 species